CGCACUGAUCCAGGGCCAUAAGGCAAUUGGGCCACCGUUAAUGUCGGAUCCUGUAUCAUUUUCCAUUAGUUUGUCCCAUUACUUCGGACCACCUGGUAACAUUAAAAUAGAUGUGAAUGACUUUUGAGCGGGACUUUGAAGAGACGCAACAUAAUGCCAGCAUGGUGAAGCCAGAGGUGGUGGGCGUGGCCAAUGUGGUUGCAGAUUUGUGUCACAGUGGAUGUUGUUCCAAGAAGGCUGCUGCAGGCUUCAAGAUUGUCUUCGGGGGCGGGACAAGCAUGACAGUGGAAAUCAGGAUGAUCUUAAUAUAUACGGUAGCUUGUAUUUUCCACCUCUUGUGUUGACAUCAUUGUCCGUGAAUACUUGUUUUUCUUUCUCCACUCUGUUUUUCAGGGAAAGGUUCACCUUGCUUCUGCCGCGAAUCUUCCUUUUUAUUGCCUCAAGUGCUAUGUGCUUUUUUGAUGCAAAUAACAUGAUUUAAGACAUCACAGACACUUGGAGAAGGAUGUCCAGUCAACAUGGAUGACAUGAAAGUCUUGCGGAAGAAGAACCUCGCCCUGAGGAAUAACGCUGUGAAGAGGCAGACCACUGUUGUGAAACUAGUUUGAGUGUCGCAACUGGUAAAUUUUCCCAUACAUGCAGCUGGAACGAGCAGAUAAUUGGCACUCAAAGCACUUGAACAAUCCUCACAAGCAUCAGGACCAAGUUGAGGCUUUAGUAUUUUGGUCAAGGACCCCCAGGUAUGGUCACUCGGGCUCAGAAUUGGAACCAAGACCUUCAGGCUGGAAAACGACCAUAAUACCACCUGAGCUGUGCCUCCCCAUUAGGAUUUCGAUUGUGUUCUUGGAAAAGUUUCUCUUCAGGUUUUUGUUGAAGGACCAACUGAUGUGUGUCAGGAUUUCGGAGAUUUCUUUUCGGAAGCGGUACCAGAGUGACUGUGGAGACUUGUAAGUUUGGCUUUUAUGUAUCACGACCCAAAUUGUGUCACUACCUCAAUCAGCUGAGAUAAAACAAGAU